AUGGUUUUUUUAUGGAAUCUUUGGCGUCAGCCUAUAGGCUUUCUAGUUUUUAGAAUUUCUUCUUUGGCCGAAUGUGAAAGAUUACCCAGAGGGGGAAUUAGUUGCGGGUUAUCAAACCGAAUAUUUCGGUAUCAAAUAUGGUUUCUUUUCUCUUGUUUCUUACUUAUCCUUAUUAGUUUCCUCUUUAUUUGUAACAGUUCUUUACUUAGGCGGGUGGCAUUUAUCUAUUCCCUACAUAUCCACGAUUCUCCCAGUGUAGGAAUCACACUAGUUAUCUUGACCUUGAUUCGGUCAAGCAGUUUUUCCUUACUAUAUUGCAGUACGAACAGGAAAAGAAUCUGUGUACUCAACGGUGCAUUAGUAAUUAUCUGGGAUUUAUUUGGCUCUUUAAAGCAGAACGGUGUCUUGACUCUCAAGAAUAGUGCAUGUUAA
rnacentral:rRNA from 1 species